CAGACUGAGAGUAAGGGAAGAUUAACUGCAUGUGACAAAAGUUGUUUAAAAAAAAGUCUUUGCAGCAGCUGUGGAAAAGAAAUCUUCCAGUAAAAUUCUUCCAAAGGUCUUUCAUGCUUUGCUCGUCAUUCCCGAACUGACAGUCACUGCAUGUGGAGGGAAUUCUUUGUACAAGGAUGUGGCUAUUGCUGCCUACACCAGGAUUCAUUGUGCAUUGCUAAUUGCCCUGGAGCAUGUACUGGUGAGCUGCCUUCUUGAAUCUCUGCAAUCUUUGGACUGCCGGGUCACCCAAAUGUUGAUAGAAGGGGAGUCCCAGGAUCUGAUUCAGUGACAAUGAAGGAACAGUGAUAAUACUUCCAGGUCCCCUUUCCUAUGUGGUUUUGGUAAAGUUGGCAACGUUACACAAGCAUCUACCAGCAGAUGGUUUCUGGUGACUGGAAUAAAUGUGGAACUGCAGAUAUCACAUGAUGACAUCCCCACAAUUCCAGUGAGCUCACAUGCUUGCAAGGAAAGAAAAUGGCUGCCAUUGGAAAGGACAUGACAAUAGUAUGGAGAAGAUCAAAGUUUGUUUUUUCACACUUAAAAAAAUCCUCAUAUUAAUUGUUUGACUAAAUUAAAUUGUAUUUUUGCUGAAAUGAGAUAAAACAACAUGAUUUGUUAUUCCAAGUGAAGUUAUUCUUUGAAAGUAUAAGAGAAGAUGUACCAUCACUUUCUCAAAGGCAAUCAGGAAUGGAAAAUAAUUGUUAGCCUUACCAACAAUUCCAGAAUUGUGAAAAAUAGACUGCAAGCAAUUUGAGAAGGUGGCAUCCCAACCCCCAUUCUAAUUUUCCCAAGGACAAUUUGGAUUGUACAGUGAAUGCAGGUCUUUCCAGCAAUACCUACAUGCCAAGCAUGAACGAAACAAACCGGGGAAGCUGGAGAACUACUCUCAGGAACACUUUAUUCAUGAGCUCUUUCAAGCCUCACUGAAAAAUUAGUAUUGGAGUGGAAAUAAUUGAUGGAAUGAACUUUCAGAUAUUUACCAUUCAUUCUCUUCAUUUGACACAAAAAUAUAAAAAUGUCCAUGCUGCAUUUAGUAAUCUGAAAUACAGCCAAAAGCAAUAAUGCAACAUUAAACUGGAACUAUCUUUUGGCAGAGUGUAAAUUCCUCACUAAUGACUGCAUGUCCUAUUUUUAGACAUCCUAUUAUUCUAAUGUCUAGACCUGGCUUCACAGUUCUGACUGAUAAGGCUAACAUAUCCUGGAAGCCAUGGUAACGAAGCAGGCCCUCAUUUUCUGCAAACUGGCUGCACCUCCCACAGUGAGUGUGAACAUAAUUAAAUGUGAUCAACGCCCAUCCUUAUUGCCACUAAUUUGAUGAAGGAAAUUCAAUUAUUAAAAUAUUCUUGAAAUAUGUUUGUUCUUCUUGAAGAAAGUGAUUUGAAAUUGACACAUUUCAGGAAUUAGGCAUUAUUAAUAACCUCAUUGUAAGGCAUCUAUGAGUGAUUCUAUUUACAAUUAUCACAUUGGUUACAUGUUGUUGCUUACAUACAGCUGGCAAUAC